rnacentral:lncRNA from 1 species
CAAACCCUUCUCAAAAUUUCACGCGCACACUGUCUCUCACGGAUCUAAUUAUCCAUAAAUACGUAUAUCUUUUUGUUGCAGUCGUCUCAGAUUCGCUUGGUGCAGGUCGGGAACUUUGUUCGCCUUUACGGCGUGGUUUCCACGUCGUCUGGCAUGAUUCCAACAGUAUAUAUACAAAUGUGUACGGUAUACGUAUAAUUGAUGUUGUUGUUUUGGCGAAAAUUAGGUUCCUGCCUUGCAUCAACUGAAUCGGAGACCACGGUGAAUGUUAUAUGUCUGUUCUUAUUGGAUUCCAAUGGAUCCGUUAAUUGAUUUGGCUUUGUGGUAGGUUGUGGUUUGAUCUUUUUUUUUUUUUUUUUGGUCAAAUGUGAUGGAGUAUUGCUAGAUCUUGGUAAAAUAGUUAAUGUGCAUUUAAUUUGACUGUCAGAUAUUAUUUUUAAUCUUUUUUGUCGAGACAGAUUUGAUUUGGCAGGUCACCAGAAAGGAAAAAUGAAAAAGGAAGCUUUUCGAGUUGGAAUUAUGCUAUUUGUACAUUCCUUUGUGAAUACGACCUCUUGUUGAAUUUUGACCCCCCUCUUUUCAUUUCCUAUACUCUGUUUUUCCUUUCUGAAACAAUCUAGAAUCAUAUUCGGUUGUAGGUGAAAAUCUUGAUAAUUUAUGCAAAUGUUUGAUUUUUAAAGAUUGUCUUAGCGAAUUUAUGAUUAAGUCAUUGUAACUUGAAUUUUUUUUAUUAUUUUUUUUAUGUUAAUUUUUUUGGAGUAGCGUUUGCCCGUAGUCUUUAAUUGAUUGCCGGAUCUUAUUCUUCUGAUUUGAUGUUUAACCUGAAGAUCUGAACUUGGUAGUGAGCUAGAAAUUUUGAUUUGUAUCCUUCUUGUUCAUUCAGAAUAUAUAUUAAAAGCUUUGCAUUUUCUUUAGCUGUUUGUUAUAAAUUCAGUAUCGAGUUAUAUUUUGCCUUUACUUUUCACUUCAUUUCUUCAUAAUCUUAUCCUGAAUUGAAUUGAAUUUUGCGUUUAUAAUGGUGUUCUUCAUAUGCUCGAAAGUGACCGUUGUGUCGGUUUAUCUUUUUGCUACUUCUGGUCAUCACUUAUUAAGGUAUCUCAUUUUUGCUUUAUUGGUUUGUUGAUCCUCCUUGUUCUUUUAUUCGAUUUUGUCAUUCGUACCCGGAGUUUACACUCUGGUUACCGUGUGGGACCCGACCCCCAUGUGAGGGGUGGGUAACCCGGAGUGUAAAGCUUCGGGUACCUGUAGCAAAAUCCUCUUUUAUUCUGUCGCACCUGAUGAGAAUUUAAUUGUGUCAAUGGUUGUACAAGCUAGGUCUAGACGCCACCUGAGCUUUCUUUUUGGUUUGGCUCAUGGAAAAUGACUAGUUAGCUUUAUAAUAUCGAGAAGUAGCAGUGUGUUUCUGCAUUUCAUCGAUGCACAUGUGCAAGCUUUAAUUAAAUACUGUGUGAUGGUCUGGGGAUGAGAAUUGAAUCCAAGGACAUCUAGUUUCAGGGCUUUCUUAACUUGGCAAAGAAGCUGGCUAUUGGAUUAUAUUAGAAACUUGUAAUAAAUAGCAUUUUCUAUGAGCUAUUGAAGUUAAACUAUUAGUCUGUCAGUUUUACAAUACCUUGUUCUAAUUGUCCAUUUCACAUCUGCCUUCUUCUAAUGAACCAAAGAGUAGCCUUUACUUCAAUAUUUUAACCAAUAUUUUGCAAACCAAACAAGUUAUCGACCCAG